ensembl:lncRNA
GUUCCCAUGUCCUUAGCAGAGAUGUUUUUGUAGAAGCACUGUUAUUUGCUUUUUCUGGGUAUCUAUUUAGAGGUGGGUUUCCUCCCCAGGUGGCCCUCUGAAUGGAGGUGGAAAAGGAGAUGAGUGAGAAGGGAAUUUAUAAGUACUGUCCAGGUGCAGCAAGUCGGGUACAUGGCCCCUUGCUUCACCUGCAUUUUUAGAACCAGAGAGGACAGUGCUUGCUUCCUCUCAGCCCAGAAGAUGGACUCGGAUCCUCUGCAUCGGUCAGCUAAGACAACUUCUGGUUCUGCAUAGUUAUUAAUAACAGGACGAGGAGGCUCUGAUGUUCAAACUCGUCCCUGAAACGCAGCAAGACCUCUCAGCUUCAAAUCCCCAGCCCGACUUCAUGAAUUUUAUUUAUGCAUUCAUUUAUUUGUGUGAUGUCUGGUGCCGAGCCGCGGAUGAAAAAUUAAAACGUAAAUUCAUCAGCAGGACCCAGAGCAGAGCUGGAUUAAAAUUUGAACUCCUGAACUUCGAGGCCCCUCCUGCCACAGAGAAAACAAGAGCAUCAGCUGAGCUCCACAAACAAAGGAAGAGCUUCUCUCUCCUCCCACAACAACAGGCGAAAAGGCAGACCUGAGAACACUCAGGCUCCAAAUGUCACUCACAACAUCCCAAACCAAAACAAAAGCAAUGCGCCAAACAGCCACACAAACAGAGGCGGGCGGGACAGGCUUCUAGUAAGCCCUGGUCAGUUGCCAAAAUUGGCUUCUGGCUGCUGGCCCUGCGGGAAUUACGUAAUUCCCAGAUAAGGGCCCUCAACUUCAAAUUUCAUCCUCUCAUCUUAGACUUUUACUCUGAAGAGCUGGCAGCAAAAAUAGGGGAGGAAAUUGAGUCAAGGAUAAAGCAGCCUGCCUGUAAUCACACAGCUGGUUAGUGUGGCUGAGGCCUGAAAGACUUCAAAGCUUAUUCCAUACCCCAGGCCAAAAAAGCUCUGCUACAUCAAGUUCAAGGGAUUUAGGUAAAGCGUCCAGUGGCUUCAUUAGUUCCAUAGGACCCUGUCUGAUUGAGCUGCUAAAGGUCUUUAUUGCUAGCGUCAAGGCUGCCUCUGUGUUUUCUUAUGGCUCCUAGCCAUGUGUGGCCAUUUACAUUUAGAUUAGU